AUCCCCCUCAGGAAAGGCAGAAGCCCUAAGCUGUGCCCAACUGGGCAGAGGGAUCCUUCUCCUGUCAUCACUGAUAUUGAACGUCACAUUGCACAAGGAGUUGGGGUUGUGAUGACAGAAGGCUGACCUCUAGAAUGCUGACUGAAAAAGGAAGUGAAUGCACAGGGCAGAUUUGGAGCUGGCUUGCAAGAACAAUUGAACUCCCAUCCAGAGGGGAAGAGGAUCUGCGUCAAGAGGAAUUCACUCGGGGUUUUUUUUUCUCUCUCUCUCUCUUUUUCUUUCUGGAAGGGAAAAGAAAAAUGACUUUUAGUUUAAAAGAAUAAAGGUCUGGGCAUUUAGAGCUGCUUGCACAAA